GAUGAACGCUGGCGGCGUGCCUAACACAUGCAAGUCGAACGAAGCACUGUGGAUGGAGACUUCGGUCAACUGAAACUUUGACUUAGUGGCGGACGGGUGAGUAACGCGUGAGUAACCUGCCCUGGAGUGGGGGACAACAGUUGGAAACGACUGCUAAUACCGCAUAAGCCCACGGUACCGCAUGGUACAGAGGGAAAAGGAGCAAUUCGCUUCAGGAUGGACUCGCGUCUGAUUAGCUAGUUGGUGAGGUAACGGCCCACCAAGGCGACGAUCAGUAGCCGGACUGAGAGGUUGAACGGCCACAUUGGGACUGAGACACGGCCCAGACUCCUACGGGAGGCAGCAGUGGGGAAUAUUGCACAAUGGGCGAAAGCCUGAUGCAGCAACGCCGCGUGAGGGAAGACGGCCUUCGGGUUGUAAACCGUCUGUCCUCAGUGACGAAGAAAGUGACGGUAGCUGAGGA
rnacentral:rRNA from 1 species